rnacentral:ribozyme from 1 species
UAAAUAAAGAGUGAAAGUCAAAUAUUUUCCGUCUCUGCCUUGUCCAGCUUUGGCUUUUUUUUCUUUUCUUUUUUUUUUUUUUUUUUU